GACGUAGGGCGCGAGCGUUGUCCGGAUUUAUUGGGCGUAAAGAGCUCGUAGGCGGUGUGUCGCGUCGGAUGUGAAAGCCCGGGGCUUAACCCCGGGUCUGCAUUCGAUACGGGCAGACUAGAGGUAUGCAGGGGAGAACGGAAUUCCUGGUGUAGCGGUGAAAUGCGCAGAUAUCAGGAGGAACACCGGUGGCGAAGGCGGUUCUCUGGGCAUUACCUGACGCUGAGGAGCGAAAGUGUGGGGAGCGAACAGG
rnacentral:rRNA from 1 species